AGCGCUCUUCCCCUCUUGUGUGUGAGCGAUGCGGUCGCCAUGAUCACUUGUACGAGUGCUUCUAACUGAAAACUGAGCAUUCCCCGACACUGUUAAGGGCGGGCGCUCACAGUGAGUUACGCCGUAAAGUGAAAUGUUCAAAGCAAAGCCCUGGUCUGUAACAGAUAUUUCACAGCACGGGGGCACCUCGUGUGAGAAUGUUAUCACAUCCCUUGCCGGGGCGAAGGCUCUGCUACCAGAUGUAAAAGUCGGGCAUUUUCCUGCUUAUCGGGAUGGAAUUGCCAAUCUCCUGCUAAAUCGUCAACUUUUACUUCGUGGAGAUUCGAACGCCAUUUAUAAUGCGUGCAGACCCAUACUCAAUCAAUGUGCAUUUAUCCCAAGUUAUUGUUGUUGAACAUGGUGAUGCUCUGAUUUAGGAUUCAUCCAUUAAUAGAGGCCCGGCGCUAGAAAUUGCCCUUUCUGACUCCCGGGUUCGCCAAAUGCAAACAGGACCAACCAGUCACCAAACUUGAAAUAGAAACAACACCGCGGCUAUGUUGCCCUGCUUGCAAAAGUCGGAUGCUCCUGAAUCAGGAGUAAGUACCAUGCAGUACCUUAACGAAACUUAUCUGAGUCAAAAAAACAUCUGACUACCUCUAGUGAUAACCUCCCAACGACAGAUCUUAUUUUUUAAUUUAAAUUGCUGCAUUUUCUUUACAUUGUGACUACACUUCAAAACACAUUUCAUUGCCUGUGAUGAACUUUGGAGUACCCU